GCGAACGCGUCGGGCCACGGUAGCCGUAAUCUAGACAGAUGGGAAUCGCUAAUGGGAGACGCGUCGGGCGCCCGCAAUUUGCGCGAGAAAUCUAAUGGCACGAGGCCCGCCACUCGACGGGAACGCUCUCAUGACAAAAGGCGCGCCGCUCGCGGACCCGACCAUUCGCCCGCGGCCCCGCGUCGAGUCCAGCCGCGCCUCGCCGCGGAGUCGAGCGGCACAGACCAGCCGAUAAACAAGCGAAUGAAUUCUCAGGAAUGAAGUUGCCUGGCGACUAGUCAAAACGUGCGGCUAGCAGAGCGGCCGCGCUGCCAUCCUCGCGGCGUCGCGGGCACAAGUGGAGGCCGCUGCAAGCACGCCAGCGUGGCUUCCUACCGCUCGAGGAGACAGCAGCUCGCGGAGGAGGUGCCCGGACUUUACAUUCGGCGCCUAACCCUUGAGGACCCGAAAAUUGCCAGGCAGCGUCCCGAUUCGGCACUGAAGUCGACCGCUCGCCACGUUUGCCAUCCUCGCGCUAGUGACGCGCCCUCAGACCGACUGACUCGCAGUUGCAGAUCGUGGCUGGAGCAGCGCAGACGCGAGCGACAACCCGUAUUGACGAUAACGUCGCUGGAGUUGCCUGAUUGUCCAGUGCCUUUGAUCGAUUCGUUAGCGGGCAAUCGUUACAGAACUGCAGAUAGCCGCAGCGCUAACAGAGACGGAGCGUCGCACGGGUUGUUUGCAAAAGCUGCUCAAAAGAGAGCGCGAAAGACUGAGAGCUGGGAGUCCCAUGGGCGAGAUGCCAAAGCAAUCGACGAACGUGAUCCUCGGCCACACUAUGAGAUUGAGAGCUGCUGCGAAGCAAUUGCAAAUGUAAUUCAAGGGAUUUCCUCGGAGGAGGUCGUGCCAGACGGAGAUUGCAGCGAGGUCAAGGAGGAGAGCGGUCAAACGGAGGUCGAAUCAAAGCACGAGCACGACAAGGCAAACGAGGCGAACGAGGUGAACGAGACGAACGAAGCGAACGAGGCGAACGAGGCGAGAGCGGCGACGGAUGAAUGUACGUGCAGCGACUUCUCGGAGAAGCUGCGUAUCAACAUUCGCAAGAAGACCGUGGUAAGACGGAGCUCGCGCAGUUACAGCCCAGAAGUGACUCACACGAUCCGCAUCGCGAUGAAAUGCCAGGAGCAACGCAGCGAGCAGUCUGUUCACAAGCAGAAGCGCGCUCUCGAUGCUCUGGAUUUGUCUAGUGCUAGCGUUCCUGAGCUGCAACCAGUUCCAGUGUCACCCUCGUCACCCUCCUCGCGAGCCCCUUGCUGUUCGGGGCUCCAUCUCGCCCUCGAUUUUAGUCUCAACUGCAAUGGCUUGCAGCUCAUCUCCCAAAACUGCAGCGUCCGGCCGAUAAUCUUCGCCGAUCUUGAUAAACACUGACUUUCUAUUCGUUAUCAUUGAUUCGCAGUUCGUCUUGUUGCAUAGGGCUUAUCAUUCACGUAGCUGUACCAGUGUGUCUGUUUUAUAGCAAUCCAAACAGUUGUCAACAAUUAACGAUCGCAUAUUAACUUAAUAGACCAGAAGGAAAUUUGAAGUAUUACCUUUGACCAAACAUUUUUUUAAUAAAUAUGUGGCAAUUAUGCCAAAAUUUAUCUGGUAGUUGUUAAAUUACCAAAUUUAAGCAAUGUCUGUGAUAAAAAUAUUACUGAAGCAAUUCCUUUAAGGAAUUUGAUUGGUAUUUACUGAGAAGUGUGGAAGUCCAUCAACAAAUGUUGAUUAAGCUCCAUGCUGCACGUGCAAGGAGCAUUUUGAUCCCAGCAAAAUUAAGUUUCUUUGUAUUAUUAAUACGAUUGAUUAAUAAAUUGCAGUUCUACAAGCUCAGCAGCUUGCUAUUUUGUGCUAGCAAAAACGAAAUUCUGUUGAGCUGUGUAUAUCUAUCUAUGGAUAUGCUGAGCAAACAUUAGUUGACUUUUUAAUCAGGUUCUCGUGCUUUCCAGUCACCAAAAAAUAUUUAGAUCAGGUUUGCCUUCUUUUAACCUUCCUCGUCUUCUUGUUAUUCUCUCCUUCUCCUUUUCUCUGUUCACUCUCCUUAUCUAUGCUACUUUCUCUCUCUCGCUCUCUCUCUCUCUCUUAACUCUUCCACGGAGUCUCUUUGUUUUUUUCUUGCCGCUUCUCUUCAUUCUUUCUCUCCCUUCCUCGACAGUCUUUUUAUUCGUUUUUACUUUUUUCAAUCGUCGUUUCUUUUUAUUCACCUCACUUUUUUCUUUCUUUCUUUGCUCUCGGCCAUCGUGGUUUUAUUUUGUCUGUGCGCUGUAGAGUCUUGCUCUCACCUGGCACGUUUUAUGUUGCCGUUGUAAGUUGCACGGAUCGAAAUAGUUCACGGUCGCUUAUUCUGCGCUGCUAAAUUCAAUUGUGUGUUGCCUGCACUUCUCUCGAAAACUGUUCAAUAAUACUCUUUAAUCUUUAUCGCCUUAUGCUAUUGAUUUUAUAACAGCUUAUAACAGUUAUAACUGUUUUUUAUAACAGUUUGGGUUAAUCAAUGAGCUGUCGAUCGUUUAUUAUUAAGCUGAAAUAUGCAGACUUUCUUGGUUUUGUCAAUUUAGAAGACAAUUUUCAUGAAAUUAGUGUCGACAGAGAUCAACGUCGAUUCUGUACAAUUGGUUCGGCAGAAGGCAUAACGUGCAAUCUCUAUGGCAUUGGCAGGCGAGUCUCAAUAGCUUUCUAACUUUGCUUAAAUUUAAAUAAUCAUCAGCGCACGUCUUUGUGGAUCCCUCGUUAUUAAUCAGGACUUACUUGUUUAGCGUCUGCUGCAAAUUCUUGAUUUGUUUUUUUUUUGAGGGAAAGAAAUAGAGGGCAAGUGAUAGAAUGCUAAACUGGUUUACCAGAUUUAUUUUAUGCAAAAAACCUGACAGCUUAUCAAGAAAUCGUAAUCGACAAUCGCAAAGUGCAGAUUUACGUGUGUAUCUCUAAAACUUUCGUUAGAAGAACCAAAGAGAGGUGCGUGCUACUCAUGAAUUUCAGAAAAUAUAUAGAAGUAUGGCUCGUUCAAUCUUACGGGAUCAGAUGAAAUCAAAUUAAAAUGAUUGCUCUCGUAUAUCUUCGACUAACGUACAUCGAUAACACUUAAUUGAAUAGUAAAUUGUUAUAUAAAAGGGCUUCUUUCGUUCGCUUUAACGAAGCUAUAUGCGAAAUGAGGCGGACAAUACUACACAUUUUACCGGAGCUACCAUGGAUCUUUCUACAAAUAAUUUUUUGCUAUUAAUGUCUUUCAACUUGACUGUUCCCGGGAUAUAUUAUGAAAAUGUUAAAAUAUUGAACAAGCCACAGAUGGACAUUGAUACGAUAAUUAUGUUGUACUACACUUUGAUUACGCAUGUGCGCAUGUGAAAAAUUCUCGAAAUAUAAACAAUGGAUAACGUGAGGUAGCGAAAGAUGGAUAGUGAUUAUGCUAAAAACAAGUAAACGUUGAAGUGAAUUCGCGGGCAAAUGGAGGAGAUAUAAAAUGGAGUUAGGGAAAAUUUCGAGAUCGCACUGCAUUAUAUAAAAAGCAUAUUAAAUCAGAGCAUGGGCCUUUCUUCCCACGUGAAAUAUGCGCUUGCGCGGGCGCACGUUUGCGGACCGGUUAGUGCAAGUGUUGCUCGUAUAGUGCAAUGACAUGUCGUACUUGCAGCGCCGGACACCAGUUAUGCAUCGUAAACUGGCAAAACACUGAGCGAAUCGAUGUAAUCCUGCGGAUCGACUGAUUUUCUAGGUCUUUCAAGGGUAUAAACCCUCCGGAAGUGUUAGUGUUAAAAGGGAGUUGUAAAAUACUUCGGAAUAAAUGAUUUUAACAAAAUUGUCAAAAAGCGCCCUCUAGUGCAUAAAGUUCGUCACUAUCCUGCAUCCGUGAACUAACUGAUGAGUCCACAGCGUUGAGAAUCCGAGCACUCAAUCAAACAACAAAAUUUUUAUGUCCGUGGUAUUUCUACAUUUUUCUCAUAACUAUGAAUGUCAUAAAUGUAGAAAUACCACGGAUAUAGAAAUUUCAUUUUUGAUUGAGUGCUUGGAUUCUCAUCACUGUGAGUCAAUUUCAAAUGAGCGAGCCAAUAUGCUGGUCCGUGCAGGCGCACUAUCCUGUAUCUUAUCUUCAAUCAAAUAAAGCCACUUUCCAUUAACCUGUAUUACGUUAAUUUACACUUAAUUGAAUAAAAGUGUCUUCCAUAAACAAAUAAAAGUUAAUACUUACUAAGUAUUCAGAAAUCCCCAGGUGCACUGUCCAUACUUAUGUCAUUUCAGUAACCUCGUUCAUCGUCGAUACUCAGGGAUGUCACUCUUUUGCUAGUAAAACCACACUAAGUCAGAUCGCAGUUGCCAAAUUGCAAUGAUAAUCUUGAGGUAGAUGAACCUAAUAUAGGACUAAUAAGUGUAACCUGCCGUAAUUUUUGGUAUUGAGCCGAAUGUGUCAAUAAUGCUUACAUUUCUCGACAGCGUUGGUCAUGUUUAAACUUUAGAACAAAAAUAUUCAAUAAAUGUUCAGAGAAUCAAUGUUAUUGAAGAGUAUCAAUAUUUUAAGUGUAAUGGUGCAGUUAGGUCGAUGAUUGAAAACGAGUUGUCAUUCAUUAUUCCCUUUUUAAUAUCUCUUAUUUGUCUUAUUUAUGAUAAAUUCGAUAAAUUAAUAAUAAAUCUACGUAAGCACCAUAAACUAUUAAUUAUGCAUCAAUUUGUUGAAAAUUCCAGUUGCUCUGCCAAAGUCGUCAUAUAUUAGUAUGGGUGACUGCAGUGAGUGUAUAAUAAUUCUAACAUAUUCAAAUUUCAGUGACAUUGAUUGUCAUAGGGCGCAAUUUCAUGAAGGCAAAAGUGGUAGCGGUGAGCCUGUAUGUGCGACUUACUUAUUUAUUCAAACUAGUCACAGUUUA